GCUGGAGAAGAGAAAGGAGGCCCUGCAGAAAGACAAGACCAAGAGCAGAGCUCCGAACAUCCCUGGGAAUUCUGCAGAGGAUCUUCUGAUCUGCGUUGGUGAGAAAGUCCCUGUGCUUCCAGUGCCGAAGAUGACACGAGCAUCAGGGAAACCAGCGCGGACCCCUCGCAGCUGUGAGCAGCUGUCAGCCCAAUAAAGACUGUUGCUUCCUGCUGGAGGGACCAG